AAACGACUCUCGGCAACGGAUAUCUCGGCUCUCGCAUCGAUGAAGAACGUAGCGAAAUGCGAUACUUGGUGUGAAUUGCAGAAUCCCGUGAACCAUCGAGUCUUUGAACGCAAGUUGCGCCCUAAGCCUUUUGGUCGAGGGCACGUCUGCCUGGGUGUCACAAA
rnacentral:rRNA from 2 species